UAACACGUGGAUAACCUACCUAUAAGACUGGGAUAACUUCGGGAAACCGGAGCUAAUACCGGAUAAUAUUUUGAACCGCAUGGUUCAAAAGUGAAAGACGGUCUUGCUGUCACUUAUAGAUGGAUCCGCGCUGCAUUAGCUAGUUGGUAAGGUAAUGGCUUACCAAGGCAACGAUGCAUAGCCGACCUGAGAGGGUGAUCGGCCACACUGGAACUGAGACACGGUCCAG
rnacentral:rRNA from 1 species